rnacentral:rRNA from 1 species
GACGAACGCUGGCGGCGUGCCUAAUACAUGCAAGUAGAACGCUGAAGGAGGAGCUUGCUCUUCUGGAUGAGUUGCGAACGGGUGAGUAACGCGUAGGUAACCUGCCUGGUAGCGGGGGAUAACUAUUGGAAACGAUAGCUAAUACCGCAUAACAGUAGAUGUUGCAUGACAUUUGCUUAAAAGGUGCAAUUGCACCACUACCAGAUGGACCUGCGUUGUAUUAGCUAGUUGGUGGGGUAACGGCUCACCAAGGCGACGAUACAUAGCCGACCUGAGAGGGUGAUCGGCCACACUGGGACUGAGUCACGGCCCAGACUCCUACGGGAGGCAGCAGUAGGGAAUCUUCGGCAAUGGACGGAAGUCUGACCGAGCAACGCCGCGUGAGUGAAGAAGGUUUUCGGAUCGUAAAGCUCUGUUGUAAGAGAAGAACGAGUGUGAGAGUGGAAAGUUCACACUGUGACGGUAUCUUACCAGAAAGGGACGGCUAACUACGUG